rnacentral:lncRNA from 1 species
GUCCAUCAGCACCACUGGAAGGAAGAGCACAGGUAGUUUGAUUGCUCAGUGCUUUCCUCAGCUUCAGCAUGGGUUAAUGGAUUUUGAGAUGUCAGAUCACUCCUAUUUAAAAGACUUGAAAAUGGGAAAAACAGAGGAGUCGUGGACCGAACACAGGAGUUUUUUGAUAAUUACCUUUGCAGCUCCUAUCACCUGAAGCAUUUGCUCCCUCAGGCAAGACCUUCAUCCUCCAUCCUCUUGUCAUUAAAUCCUUCAAUCUGCAUUAUGACAACAUCUGCAAACCUCCUCCUUGCUUUCUCCCCAUGGGGGCACCACCUGACCUGUCUCUCUG